rnacentral:tRNA from 1 species
GGUUCUAUAGUGUGACUGUUAGCACAUCUGCUUUACAUGCAAAAGGUCUUGGGUUCACGCCCCAGUGGAGCCA